GUGCCUGAAGAGCAAUGGAUAGCGCGUUGGACUUCUAAUGCAAAGGUCGUGGAUUCAAUUACCACCUGGGAUG